rfam:Rozella allomycis CSF55 unplaced genomic scaffold scaffold_3836, whole genome shotgun sequence.
GAACGGCUAGCUCAAUCGGCAGAGCGUGAGACUCUUAAUCUCAAGGUUGCGAGUUCGACCCUCGCGUUGGGUG